rnacentral:rRNA from 1 species
CGAAUAAGGAUCGGCUAACUCCGUGCCAGCAGCCGCGGUAAUACGGAGGAUCCAAGCGUUAUCCGGAUUUAUUGGGUUUAAAGGGUGCGUAGGCGGUUUGAUAAGUUAGAGGUGAAAUUUCGGGGCUCAACCCUGAACGUGCCUCUAAUACUGUUGAGCUAGAGAGUAGUUGCGGUAGGCGGAAUGUAUGGUGUAGCGGUGAAAUGCUUAGAGAUCAUACAGAACACCGAUUGCGAAGGCAGCUUACCAAACUAUAUCUGACGUUGAGGCACGAAAGCGUGGGGAGCAAACAGGAUUAGAUACCCUGGUAGUCCACGCAGUAAACGAUGAUAACUCGUUGUCGGCGAUACACAGUCGGUGACUAAGCGAAAGCGAUAAGUUAUCCACCUGGGGAGUACGUUCGCAAGAAUGAAACUCAAAGGAAUUGACGGGGGCCCGCACAAGCGGAGGAACAUGUGGUUUAAUUCGAUGAUACGCGAGGAACCUUACCCGGGCUUGAAAGUUAGCGACGAUUCUUGAAAGAGGAUUUCCCUUCGGGGCGCGAAACUAGGUGCUGCAUGGUUGUCGUCAGCUCGUGCCGUGAGGUGUCGGGUUAAGUCCCAUAACGAGCGCAACCCCUACCGUUAGUUGCCAUCAGGUCAAGCUGGGCACUCUGGCGGGACUGCCGGUGUAAGCCGAGAGGAAGGUGGGGAUGACGUCAAAUCAGCACGGCCCUUACGUCCGGGGCUACACACGUGUUACAAUGGCAGGUACAGAGAGACGGUCCCUUGCAAAACGGAUCAAAUCCUUAAAGCCUGUCUCAGUUCGGACUGGGGUCUGCAACCCGACCCCACGAAGCUGGAUUCGCUAGUAAUCGCGCAUCAGCCAUGGCGCGGUGAAUACGUUCCCGGGCCUUGUACACACCGCCCGUCAAGCCAUGGGAGCCGGGGGUGCUUGAAGUGCGUCGCCGCGAGGCGCGCCCUAGAGCAAAACCGGUGACUGGGGCUAAGUCGUAACAAGGUAGCCGUACCGGAAGGUGCGGCUG